rnacentral:rRNA from 1 species
GGGUCCUAUGCUUGCAAGUUCGAACGAACUCUGUGUAUUGAUUGGUGCUUGCAUCAUGAUUUACAUUUGAGUGAGUGGCGAACUAGAGAGUUGCACGUGGGAAACCUGCCCAGAAGCGGGGGAUAAAUCGUAGAGACAGAUGCUAAUACCGCAUAACAACUUGUGACCGCAUGGUCCGAGUUUGAAAGAUAGCUUCGGCUAUCACUUUUGGAUGGUCCCGCGGCGUAUUAGCUAGAUGGUGAGGUAACGGCUCACCAUGGCAAUGAUACGUAGCCGACCUGAGAGGGUAAUCGGCCACAUUGGGACUGAGACACGGCCCAAACUCCUACGGGAGGCAGCAGUAGGGAAUCUUCCACAAUGGACGAAAGUCUGAUGGAGCAACGCCGCGUGAGUGAAGAAGGGUUUCGGCUCGUAAAACUCUGUUGUUGAAGAAGAACAUAUCUGAGAGUAACUGUUCAGGUAUUGACGGUAUUUAACCAGAAAGCCACGGCUAACUACGUGCCAGCAGCCGCGGUAAUACGUAGGUGGCAAGCGUUGUCCGGAUUUAUUGGGCGUAAAGCGAGCGCAGGCGGUUUUUUAAGUCUGAUGUGAAAGCCUUCGGCUCAACCGAAGAAGUGCAUCGGAAACUGGGAAACUUGAGUGCAGAAGAGGACAGUGGAACUCCAUGUGUAGCGGUGAAAUGCGUAGAUAUAUGGAAGAACACCAGUGGCGAAGGCGGCUGUCUGGUCUGUAACUGACGCUGAGGCUCGAAAGUAUGGGUAGCAAACAGGAUUAGAUACCCUGGUAGUCCAUACCGUAAACGAUGAAUGCUAAGUGUUGGAGGGUUUCCGCCCUUCAGUGCUGCAGCUAACGCAUUAAGCAUUCCGCCUGGGGAGUACGGCCGCAAGGCUGAAACUCAAAGGAAUUGACGGAGGCCCGCACAAGCGGUGGAGCAUGUGGUUUAAUUCGAAGCUACGCGAAGUAACCUUACCAGGUCUUGACAUACUAUGCAAAUCUAAGAGAUUAGACGUUCCCUUCGGGGACAUGGAUACAGGUGGUGCAUGGUUGUCGUCAGCUCGUGUCGUGAGAUGUUGGGUAAGUCCCGCAACGAGCGCAACCCUUAUUAUCAGUGCCAGCAUUAAGUGGCACUCGGUGAGACGCCGUGACAACCGAAGAAGGGGGGAUGACGUCAAUCAUCUGCCCUAUGACCUGGCUACCACUGCUCCAUGAUGGUCCACGAUUGCGAACUCCCAAAUAGCUAAUCCUUAAGCCUUCCCGUCGGUUGAAGCUGCACUCGCU